rnacentral:misc_RNA from 1 species
UUUCCGUAGGUGAACCUGCGGAAGGAUCAUUACAGAGUUCAUGCCCGAAAGGGUAGACCUCCCACCCUUGUGUAUUAUUACUUUGUUGCUUUGGCGAGCGCCAGCUCGCCAGAGAAUACCAAAACUCUUUUUAUUAAUGUCGUCUGAGUACUAUAUAAUAGUUAAAACUUUCAACAACGGAUCUCUUGGUUCUG